UACGUAGGGUGCAGGCGUUAAUCGGAAUUACUGGGCGUAAAGCGUGCGCAGGCGGUUGUGUAAGUCUGUCGUGAAAUCCCCGGGCUCAACCUGGGAAUUGCGAUGGAGACUGCACGGCUAGAGUGUGUCAGAGGGGGGUAGAAUUCCACGUGUAGCAGUGAAAUGCGUAGAUAUGUGGAGGAACACCGAUGGCGAAGGCAGCCCCCUGGGAUAACACUGACGCUCAUGCACGAAAGCGUGGGGAGCAAACAGG
rnacentral:rRNA from 1 species